rnacentral:rRNA from 1 species
UACGUAGGGUGCGAGCGUUAAUCGGAAUUACUGGGCGUAAAGCGUGCGCAGGCGGUUUGUUAAGACAGUUGUGAAAGCCCCGGGCUUAACCUGGGAACUGCAAUUGUGACUGGCAAGCUAGAGUGUGGCAGAGGGGGGUGGAAUUCCACGUGUAGCAGUGAAAUGCGUAGAGAUGUGGAGGAACACCGAUGGCGAAGGCAGCCCCCUGGGCUAACACUGACGCUCAUGCACGAAAGCGUGGGGAGCAAAC